ensembl:lncRNA
AUGGUGUAAAAGUUUGAAUUUAUUAAAAAAUAUAUUUGAAGUAGUGUUACGACAAAACGUACAAACUGAGAAUAAAUCAAAUGAAUGAAAAGGGCCUAAUAGCUGCCUCCCCUCUAUGCUUACCCAGAAAUGCUAAGCUUCAAAUUACAUCUCUCCAUACAGGACAAGUACAACUUAACAGCCACCCUGGGAAUGAGCCAGUGCCUCCCACAUGCUAGGGGAGUCUAAUUGUAACACAGACAUAACAGGUAAAUGACCUUAAUACAACCAUCUUUGACACUCAAACUGGUGUCUCUGGAUAAACCCCUUUGACAGAUACAUCAAAUGACUCAGACUGCUGGCAACAACUGACAUUACUGAAGAUUUGGAAAAUAACUUAUUUGUCUCUACAGAAGCUUAUUUUUCUUUUAAAAACAAGAUUCCCCCUCUUUGCCUAUGGCUUACUAAAGUACCAUAAUCUAAUAACAGAUCAUAUGUUUUACCAUGGUGCAGUGAAAUUACUAGCAAGGUAAGUGGGGGACAUCUGUUUAGUUUUGUGUAUGCAAAUUCAUUCAGGAGCAUAAUCUGCAUAUUUGUUCAUAUUUCUUUAAUAAGUCUAAAUGUAAAUAUUUUUCCAAUGCUUCCUGUGGAUCUUAUGUUGAGUUUGUUUUCAUUGCUUCUUCGGGAGAGGUCUCGUUUUUAAAAGAUAGGAAUUACAAAGUGAUAAUCUAUAUAAUAAUAUAAGAGAUGUAUUAUUUAAUUUCAACAUUAAUGCAUUUCUGUCAGAAUAUUAAAAAAAUUAAGACAAUACAUUUUACACAAAAACAAAAACUUUUAAUUUUCUUAAAGAGCAUUCAAAAAAGCUUGCAUGUUCCGGUAUUUUAGUCACAUAACUUGGUUUCCCUCCAUACUAAAUAACAUCAAAUGAAAUUGGCAAAAAAAAAAAGGGAAAGAACCACCUAGAGAUUUAAACACAGAAUGCCAAAUAAUGUUUAACUAGCAUCACUAGAAACCCUUAACUUAUAAAGAAAGAGUAUUCUGACCAAUAUAUCACUUUGAAAUCGUUCCCUCCCACAACAGCAGGAACCUGUAGAAAGAACACUUCAUUCAAAGCAACACUUUAGAUUAGGCCCAAGAAAUGAAUUCAGUAUCAUUAUUAAAUCUAUUUUUGUUCCAUAUCACUGCAUUACUAACAUAGGGCUUAUUCAAUGAUGCAAAACCUUCAGCGCAUUUCAGACAGACACAUAUUGCACACAACUGACAACUCUUCCAAAUAACAUGUAGUUAUAGAAUGACAUUCCUUUCUGUUUCACAAUGUUCUACCUUAUUAGGAGUUAUAACUACAUGCUGACAUGGGAAUGAUUACAGUCACAUCUUGAUUUACAAGUUUACCGGUAUUGAAAUUAUAUUAUACAUUAUGCAUAAAUACCAGAAGUACUUUACAUGUACUAGGAUCACUAGUCAAAUUAAUUUUGGCCUGGGGUCAACUGAAGGGGUUGCUUCACAGUUUGCACAACAAGCUUUUUGUUUUUAAAUAUACUUUCUAUAAAAAUAUAGAAGAGUACCUGUGCUUUUUUGUUCCUCAUUGCUAACUACAAUGCAGAAUAAAACACUCCACGGAGGAGUAAAAUCCCCACAAGAUUGAAACAACUUGGUGUAAACAAAGGCCCACAGACAAAACGUGUCCUGAAAUGGUUUUACUGCAUACAAUUCACAGUGUUAUGAGAUGUGACGGUCACAAUACAUAAAUUAUCCUAUUUGGUCUUUUCUCUCUUUUCAUGAGGAUUUCAUGUUUGUUACUUCGUGAUUUAGCGAGUCCGUGACACGGAUGACAUGCUCAAAUGGACAGUAAUGCUUCAUGGUCUUCCCUUGGGAGCUUUUCAGUCAACUUGUUUUGGCAGUGAUAACUCUUAUGGGAACUGGAGUUGUUCAUAAAAAAAUGGAGGAUAUUAUUCAAAACAGGAUUGCAAUGUCGCGGCCGUGAGAUGCUUGAGGAAGAAAGAAAUAACUGGAUAAAAACAAAAGGCAGUUUGAAUGAAACACAGUCCACGGAGGCUUUGUAGAUUAUAUGUUUCUACAAAAGUGGGUCUGAAGGUGAGCUAUAGUAGUGUAGCCCGUUGCGCUAGCUUGUGCUUUCCAGUGAGCGAGGCUGCUUGUCCCAUGUGAUCGUGCGUCAAUGGCAUGCCCUGUGCUGCCCCCCAAAAAACAGACAGACACGCAUGCUCUAGUAAAAAGAACAUAGAUAAUAUCAUACGUCACAACAAUGUUUUUUUACGAAAAAUAUGACCGUGUUCCUGUCAGUUGUCAUUGACAAGAAACAUGAGACCUAAAUGUGUAUUACAAGGAUUGCGGGGAGGCAUAGGGAACAACAGAACGGACAGUCUCUGACAUGCCUUUUUACCAACAGCACAACAAAUAAGAUUAAGUCAAUUCAAUACAGUAAAGUGCAAGGCUACUAUUGUUAUUUUCAUCAUUAUUAAUCAUAAGAUCAUUGUCAACAAAUAAACAAUGUUAUAAUUGUCAUGGGGGUAGUAUAGCCCAUGCUGAAAUGGUCCACAUUGGUUGUCAAUGUUACAGUGGGGAGAACAGUGGCAGUUCGACCCCCAACCCUCCAUGUCCUUGGAAUGUAUGCUGGUUGAGUUUGACCCAAAAAAAAAACACUAAUGGGAGCACAGUUAAGUCAUUAAAUUGCUAUGACAACUGCACAUCUUUUUCACAGUUACUACAAUUAACUAUUUGACAUACGUACUUAAGACAAAAACAUCUCUCUGUAUCACAUACUGUUUUUUUUUUUUCUUCAAUUAUACAUAAAUAUACACAUUUAAAGUGGUAAUUAUUUUCUUACUUUUGAAAUUUAAAAUUUCUUAUUAAAUACUUAAAAAUGUUUGGCUAUCUUUGUUCACCAUCACAAACAUGUACUGAAAAAUGGUUGCUAGGAGUCCAUUCAAGCACAAGCCGGUUCCAUUGCCCCGCCUGUAUAAGGAAACAAGACAGUGCUUGCUGCCAUAUAAGGGCAGGGGCUAGACGGCUGUUGUUGGAACUAACCUGCAAUCAGACUAACAUGAACUCGACAGAGUAAACGCUAUGGACAAUAAUACUGAAUAGACAUGCAAUGAGAGAGAAAAAAAACGCAGCAUGAACUCUCUCAGUAAACCAUCAUGCCUAAGACAACCAGUUAAAGGAAUGCCAUUAUAGAGGCUUAUUAACUAUGAAUGACACAGGGUAUUUAAAAGUCCUACAUUUCCCAGAAACCAACAGUUUCUAAAUCAGUACUGGUACCUCCCUUAACAUAAUUUAUUUAAUCCCCCACUGAUCUGAAAUAACUGGGCAGGAUAAAGCAGGUAAAGGAGAGGUUAUGAGGAAACAUACACUUAUUAAGAUGCAACAAACAAAGAGAAAGGCCUCUGCCACCCAUACAAUGUAUGAGUCUCACAAAGCAUCAUGUCAACAUCUUAGAUAUCUAGUCACGGUCAAAGAAAAACAUUUAAAAGAUCCACAGCAGAAGAAGCAUAACCCUGGGUCCUCACGUGAAUUCUCUGGAAAACCCAGGUCGGCUGAGGUUAGUCCGUUUACACAUGUUGACGGUCCUGUGAGCAGUCGGUUAGCUGUGUACCUGUGGGGUGCUUGAAUCUACACCCGUGUGGAACCCAGUACGGGAACUUCCUCGGACGCAAGGAGCAACCGUGAAAGACUAGAGACCACCUGCCUGCCCGGUCACUGCACCACUGGCUGACAUGUUGGCAGAUCAUCCAGAGCUGCCGACUACGCCACCCCCUGACUACACCACAGGGGUACUUAGGGUUAAACUGUCCUUCAGGGUCCGCAUAGGCACACUGUCCCCAGCCCCCCACCCCAUAGGCCUCGGUUUUACAGAGCGGACUAUAGAAACAAAACAAACAAAAAGCAACGCACAGGCAAUUACAUUAGAAUUAGAUCUGUAUUCAAACCGGCUGAUCUAGUAAGUUAAACAUAAACAUGCAGAGUAGUCUCACUCUAAACUCUACAGCCAGUUGACUUGGCCAC